rnacentral:lncRNA from 1 species
AAAAGGGGACACGGUCACGAUGUCUGUAUCCACUCUUUCUCAUAGAAUGGAACCUCCUUCUUGACAUACGUUGCUGCUCGGUGGAGAACAUCAUCGCUGAGGCGAACACGGUAUGCAAGUUCAACAAGUAUGGAUUUAAAAAACCAUAUUGAAUUUGAUAAGAUAAACCGUCUAGACAAGGUAGCAUCAUUUUUAAACCACUGCAAUAAUGCAUACUAUAUAUGACACAUCAAUCUCCCUCAC